AUUAGAGUUUGAUCCUGGCUCAGGAUGAACGCCGGCGGUGUGCCUAAUACAUGCAAGUCGAACGCGUUGGCCCAAUUGAUUGAUGGUGCUUGCACCUGAUUGAUUUUGGUCGCCAACGAGUGGCGGACGGGUGAGUAACACGUAGGUAACCUGCCCAGAAGCGGGGGACAACAUUUGGAAACAGAUGCUAAUACCGCAUAACAGCGUUGUUCGCAUGAACAACGCUUAAAAGAUGGCUUCUUGCUAUCACUUCUGGAUGGACCUGCGGUGCAUUAGCUUGUUGGUGGGGUAAUGGCCUACCAAGGCGAUGAUGCAUAGCCGAGUUGAGAGACUGAUCGGCCACAAUGGGACUGAGACACGGCCCAUACUCCUACGGGAGGCAGCAGUAGGGAAUCUUCCACAAUGGGCGCAAGCCUGAUGGAGCAACACCGCGUGAGUGAAGAAGGGUUUCGGCUCGUAAAGCUCUGUUGUUAAAGAAGAACACGUAUGAGAGUAACUGUUCAUACCUUUGACGGUAUUUAACCAGAAAGUCACGGGUAACUACGUGCCCAGCAAGCCGCGGUAAUACGUAGGUGGCAAGCCGUUAUCCCGGAUUUAUUUGGGCGUAAAGAAAAGCGUUAUCCGGAUUUAUUGGGCGUAAAGAGAGUGCAGGCGGUUUUCUAAGUCUGAUGUGAAAGCCUUCGGCUUAACCGGAGAAGUGCAUCGGAAACUGGAUAACUUGAGUGCAGAAGAGGGUAGUGGAACUCCAUGUGUAGCGGUGGAAUGCGUAGAUAUAUGGAAGAACACCAGUGGCGAAGGCGGCUACCUGGUCUGCAACUGACGCUGAGACUCGAAAGCAUGGGUAGCGAACAGGAUUAGAUACCCUGGUAGUCCAUGCCGUAAACGAUGAGUGCUAGGUGUUGGAGGGUUUCCGCCCUUCAGUGCCGGAGCUAACGCAUUAAGCACUCCGCCUGGGGAGUACGACCGCAAGGUUGAAACUCAAAGGAAUUGACGGGGGCCCGCACAAGCGGUGGAGCAUGUGGUUUAAUUCGAAGCUACGCGAAGAACCUUACCAGGUCUUGACAUCUUGCGCCAACCCUAGAGAUAGGGCGUUUCCUUCGGGAACGCAAUGACAGGUGGUGCAUGGUCGUCGUCAGCUCGUGUCGUGAGAUGUUGGGUUAAGUCCCGCAACGAGCGCAACCCUUGUUACUAGUUGCCAGCAUUAAGUUGGGCACUCUAGUGAGACUGCCGGUGACAAACCGGAGGAAGGUGGGGACGACGUCAGAUCAUCAUGCCCCUUAUGACCUGGGCUACACACGUGCUACAAUGGACGGUACAACGAGUCGCGAACUCGCGAGGGCAAGCAAAUCUCUUAAAACCGUUCUCAGUUCGGACUGCAGGCUGCAACUCGCCUGCACGAAGUCGGAAUCGCUAGUAAUCGCGGAUCAGCAUGCCGCGGUGAAUACGUUCCCGGGCCUUGUACACACCGCCCGUCACACCAUGAGAGUUUGUAACACCCAAAGUCGGUGGGGUAACCUUUUAGGAGCCAGCCGCCUAAGGUGGGACAGAUGAUUAGGGUGAAGUCGUAACAAGGUAGCCGUAGGAGAACCUGCGGCUGGAUCACCUCCUUAAU
rnacentral:rRNA from 1 species